ensembl:lncRNA
CUCUGGGAGCAGGUGGGUGGCUGCUGUGGUGCUGGGAGCCUCAGGUCAUCACUUUGCAGGGACUCAUGGUGCUUUGCAACCCUAUCAGCCAUCCAGCAGAAUUCAGCAAGCUGUCCUGAAAUCUCCAUCUGUGCUGCAGCGUGCUUUGGUGAGAUCCCAACACAGCAAACCUUUUGUGAAUGGACUUUGUGAGGAUGUGAGUCGGUGCCAGGAUGUGUUCCCAGGCUUUGUGCAGCUGUCUUCCCAAAGCUUUCUGAAGAUUAAUGUAACAUGCGAAGGUCAGCGUGGUCCUGAGUAAAGGAAGGGGCUGCUGGGGGACCUGGUGGCACAGUGGAAUGAGGAGAGCGAUGUUGCUG